rnacentral:rRNA from 1 species
AUUGAACGCUGGCGGCAUGCUUUACACAUGCAAGUCGAACGGCAGCGCGGGCUUCGGCCUGGCGGCGAGUGGCGAACGGGUGAGUAAUGCAUCGGAACGUGCCCAGUAGUGGGGGAUAGCCCGGCGAAAGCCGGAUUAAUACCGCAUACGACCUGAGGGUGAAAGCGGGGGACCGAAAGGCCUCGCGCUAUUGGAGCGGCCGAUGUCGGAUUAGCUAGUUGGUGGGGUAAAGGCUUACCAAGGCGACGAUCCGUAGCUGGUCUGAGAGGACGACCAGCCACACUGGGCCUGAGACACGGCCCAGACUCCUACGGGAGGCAGCAGUGGGGAAUUUUGGACAAUGGGGGCAACCCUGAUCCAGCCAUGCCGCGUGCGGGAAGAAGGCCUUCGGGUUGUAAACCGCUUUUGUUCGGGAAGAAAUCCUCUGGGCUAAUACCCCGGGGGGAUGACGGUACCGGAAGAAUAAGCACCGGCGAACUACGU